rnacentral:rRNA from 1 species
ACACUCCUACGGGAGGCAGCAGUAGGGAAUCUUCGGCAAUGGGGGCAACCCUGACCGAGCAACGCCGCGUGAGUGAAGAAGGUUUUCGGAUCGUAAAGCUCUGUUGUAAGUCAAGAACGAGUGUGAGAGUGGAAAGUUCACACUGUGACGGUAGCUUACCAGAAAGGGACGGCUAACUACGUGCCAGCAGCCGCGGUAAUACGUAGGUCCCGAGCGUUGUCCGGAUUUAUUGGGCGUAAAGCGAGCGCAGGCGGUUUGAUAAGUCUGAAGUUAAAGGCUGUGGCUCAACCAUAGUUCGCUUUGGAAACUGUCAAACUUGAGUGCAGAAGGGGAGAGUGGAAUUCCAUGUGUAGCGGUGAAAUGCGUAGAUAUAUGGAGGAACACCGGUGGCGAAAGCGGCUCUCUGGUCUGUAACUGACGCUGAGGCUCGAAAGCGUGGGGAGCGAACAGGAUUAGAAACCCUUGUAGUCCCA